UACGUAGGGUGCAAGCGUUGUCCGGAAUUAUUGGGCGUAAAGAGCUCGUAGGCGGUUUGUCACGUCUGCUGUGAAAACCCGAGGCUCAACCUCGGGCCUGCAGUGGGUACGGGCAAACUAGAGUGCGGUAGGGGAGAUUGGAAUUCCUGGUGUAGCGGUGGAAUGCGCAGAUAUCAGGAGGAACACCGAUGGCGAAGGCAGAUCUCUGGGCCGUAACUGACGCUGAGGAGCGAAAGCGUGGGGAGCGAACAGG
rnacentral:rRNA from 1 species